rnacentral:misc_RNA from 1 species
AGUCGGCUACUCGGAGGCGCA